rnacentral:lncRNA from 1 species
ACAAAAGGAAUGGGGUUGUCUAUCUUGAUGUGCAUAAGUUACCAGAAAGACCGCAAAGUGAUUUAGAUCGUAGGAGGUAGGCUCACCUACCUUUGAAUUUCUUGAUUCUUGGAUCUGUAAAUAUUUGAUAUAAUCAACAGAGCAGCAAUCAAGGCAGAUUAUUUGGGUAUGUUGACUGUGCUAAAGAGCAGUAAUAAAUAUAACAAAAAAGAGUAGAUGUUUGGGAAAAUGAAAAGAAUUUUGCUAAUAAUGCCUUAUAUUGUAAAUAAUGCCAUAUAUUGUAAAAAAAUAUGAUGUGUUGCUUUCUACUGCUCAAGCUUUACUAGUAUACAAAUUAAAAAUUUUCUCCCCCAUUUUUGCUUUGAUUUUAUUGGGAUAAGCCUUAAACUUAAUGAGUUUGGAAAUUAGAUGUUAUGUAGGAUAUUGUUUUGAGAGCCUCGCCACUGAAGAUCCUAGAAGAGCAGAUGGAGAAGGGAUACAUCAUGUUGAUGCCAAUGUUGAAUUCUGUUCUGUGAUUAANACAAAAUUAGGAGCUCACCGCAUCUUAAUGGGUGCUGAGAUGGAUUGCUGUGAUUCAACUAAUGACGGAAAGAGAUUCUAUGUGGAGUUAAAGACUAGUUGUGAGGUUCAUAUAGUUCUGGCUGUCUUCUGUUAUAUUUCAAUUUUGGCUCUUAUUUUUCUUUUCUAAUAACACAUUUAUGUUGGCUUAAUAAUAUGAGACUAUCAUUUUUAUGAUCCAGUUGAAUUAUCAUACUGAGGAAAGAUUUGAGAGAGAAAAAUUGUUGAAGUUUUGGGUAAAUUUCCUAUAUUUUAUGAUCCAGUUGAAUUAUCAUUUGUUUUUCAUCUCCAUGUGUUCCUUUUUCAAUUUUUAUGAUAUAUUCAACAUGACUCUGUUUGUGCUUGCAGAUUCAGUCAUUUCUGGCGGGUGUUCCAUAUAUUGUCAUAGGAUUUAGGUAACUGUUAUUUCUGCUUCAUAUCAUUACAAAAUCUUUGAUUUUCUCCAACAUGGUAUGGGAAAGUUACUCAAUUCAACUAGGUUUGGAGAAAUUGAUUUCUGCUCAUUUUAAACGUUCUGUUCUUACAUCUGGCAUGCAUGACAACUGAAAACUCAUACUGCUAGUGGUUUCUACUUUAGUGUGUUUAUAUUGUUUAUUUUCACUGUGUUACAGGGACGAUGCAGGUCGUCUUGUUCGGACAGAAAGACUUAGAACCAAAGAUAUAACUCAGAGAGUAAAAAUGAAGAACUACUGGCAGGUAUAACUGCUGUAGGGUGCAAGGUGGCUAAUCUUUUAUGUGGCUUGAUACUGCAUCAUUAGUUAAUUAAAACUGCAGUAAGCACACCCUGUGGGUCAUGGAGAACGCUCCAGAUGUUAUUUCCUUCUCUGACAUCAAUGAUAAAAAGUACAUACUUAUACGUGCAAGUAAUCAUUGCAUAGCUAAUUAAGGAUCGUUCAAUAUCAUCUUAGGAGGAUAAAAUCACAUUUAUAUCUGUAAGUUCUGAAGUUUGAUCAUUUUCCUUUUCAUGAUAAUUAACAAAAUCUGUUGGCAGGGAGGAGUCUGCUUGGCUUUUGCAGAUGAGGUAUUAUGCUGGCUCUAUGGAACAGUAAAAGAAGGUGAGUAGUAUACGCGCUCUCUGUUUUUGUUUUGUUGAAGUAGUGACCGAUUGCUUUUAUUUCGUGUGUAUUUUUGUUUCAGAUGAAGAUUACAUUUUGCAAUUUGCUCCACCUUUCAACCGUCUGGAGCUUCUGCAAGCCCAGUCCUGCCCAGAUGUAAUUGCAAGUCAUUUGGAGCUGUUGUGAAAAUUUUGAGACCAUAGCUGUUAUCUUUUAAACAAUCCGGUACGCCAAGUAAGUAAGGGGAAUCAACUCUGGUGUUUUCCCGGCAACUUUGAUCAUUUCACGAACCUUUUUAGUAUAUAGGGUUACCCUCUGUGAGUGCUCACAAUUGCAUUCACAACUUUUUAGAAUUUUGCUGAAAUAUUGUGUAUGGCCUUGUUUAGUUAGAAUAUAGUUUUUCAUUUUACCCUUCUCAGCUUAGCGCUCUUCCGUUUUCUAAACUUGUCGGAAAAAAACGUUCGCUUAAGUUUACUUUUAAGAGCUAAUAUUGGAAAACACUAACUACAUAGAUUUAUAUAAUUCAGCAUACAAAUGUAAAUGUUUUUAUUUUAUAUUUAGAAAUAUACAAUCAUAAAUAUAAAAAUAAAUUAUAUUUUAGAUUAUAUAUUUUGGAAUAAAAAAUUUUGUGAAUAUACAGGUUGAAAUUAUGAAAAUCUAAGAAGAAAUGGUCAUUAUUGCCACUCGGCUGAAUUUAAAUUCUUCCAAUUCUCCUUUUACGCAAUGGACAUGGAGGCGACGUAGGUUUCGAUCAAGAAGACAGUUUAAUGCACCAUUUACAGUUUGAUUGAGGAAUAUUUAUAGAAAGGUUAAUGUUUUAUGAUGACAAAAUAUAACGUUUAGCUAAGUAAUUCUAAAAGAAAUUAAAAUUUUAAAGAUUUAUUAGCAGUACCAUUACUUGAAAUUUGAUAAUAUAAUUUUUUUAAAUUGAAAUUUGAAAAGUAGUUUUUACUCAUUUAUGUCUCUUAUUAAUUAUGAUUUUUUUCCCAUUCUCAUGGUUUAGUUAUAGUUGAUGUUAACUAAGAUACUGACUUUUUGUUUCCCUAAAUGUCGAUUAAAUUUAUUUUUCUAAUCAAUGUAAAUUAGUUAUAUUUUUCCAAGCUUUUUUAAUCAACCCAUGAUUAUAAUUCCAUUCUUUGUUGAUAUUUAUAAGACUUUUUUUUUCUAUUAAUAUAAUUAAAAAUUGUUGGGAUUAUUUUAAAAACAUGGGAAUUAGGGUUAUUUAGUGGUCAAUAUUGACCAAGAAACCAAUAUUAACGAACUAUUUUUUUUUAUAAAAGUUUUUCUUAAAAAACAAUUAGACUAUGUUUGAUUUUAUCAUAUAUAGUUGAGGAUUGCAAUGAUAUUUUUAAUCAACAUCACCACCGUUAUCUUUUUCUCUAAAGUUGUCAUUGUUUGUUGCUAAUUUGGGCAAUGUUUUAUGAAUAUUGAGUAUAUUUUUUUAAACUUUAUCAGAUUUCCAUUAUAUUAGUAAAAAAUAAUUAUGAUCACCAUUAAAAAUAAUUAUAUAUAUAUAUAUAUAUAUAUAUAGUUGUUAUCAAUUAAGAAAACUCGUAUAAAUUUUAAUUUGUUUGAAUUUGUUUAGAGGUGUAAACAUAUUAAUGAAAUGGCAGCUGAAUUGCUAUAAAAGUUUUUCAAUGUUAGGUUAGAGAAUUUCAUUAGAAGUUCUUUCUUAUAGUGAUAUCAAAGUGAUAUGUUAUUUUGUUCUUCCAUAUUCAGUUCAGAGUUUAAUCUCUCUCUGUCUAUGUAUAAUAUUAAUUUCUGUUCAAGCUUAUUUAAUCCUUACAAAUUUUGAAAGUUUUGAAAGUGAUUUUAAUAUAUACAAAUUUAUUUAAUUAUGUAAUAUCAACUAGUUUUUAGAUCCGUACACGGAUAACUUAUAAAUAUAUAAAUGAAAAAACAAUAUUAUAUUUCAUUAAGAAAAUUAUACUUUUAUCGUUCAUAUUAUAUGGCAAAAUUAUAAUAAACGUAAAAUUAUCAGAUAUCAAUGUUUAUGAAAAUUAAAUUAGUUAAUAACUUUUGGAUUACCUCAAAACAUUAAAUUUAUAUAAAAAGGAAAUUAUUUAUAAUAAACUUUUAUAUAAAUAUUUUUCAUCUGUAAUUAAUCUAUAAAUAACUCAAAACGUAAUUUUGAUAUUUAAAUUAAAAAGAAUGUGUGUACCUUUUUUUUUGCAAAUAUUGUAGGUGUGAUAUUUUUAAAGAGUUUGAAAGAUUUUUUUUUGACAAUAUUUUUAGUUGUUGUAUUUAUUCAAAAAUAAGAUUUUUAAUUUUUUCUUUCCUUUUUAUUCUAUAAACAAUAACAUAGAGAUGUCCAUAUGUAAAUAGUGGACAUGACAGGUAAAGUCCAACUCUUGUAAAAGAUUGUACUUGAUUUUUAUUGCUUGUCUUUGCAAAAUAAAGUAAUAUUGAAAAUUGUGUUAUUUGAAAUUUAAAAUACAAUCCAAAAUCAGAAUAUACUAAAUUUUGGAUCAUAAUAGCAAAAAUCACAUUUUGUCUAACUGAUUAACUUACAACAUUGUGUCAUUACAAAGACCUUUUGCUUUAUCAUUGUUUCUUAGAAACAUAGUUGGAAGUUGGAACACUUUCUUUCAACUUCAAGAAUUUUAAUGUAAACCACUCAGUUUGAAUUUGUUGGUCUCAACUGAUAGAUAAUGUGUGUCUGAACUUAAAAAGGUAAUUUCCUCACCAUUUAUCAAAGACAACAACACCAUUUUACCCUAAUUCAGUUUUAACAUCACAAGAGCGUAGUUUCAGUAAUGUUAUUAUGAUUAGGUGACAAUCGUAUCGAACUGAAUCAAAUUGAAUUGCGGAGAGGAAAUGAUGAAUCAAAUUGAAUCGCUGAGAGGAAAUGAUGACAUUCAUCCUAAUCAAGAGAGUUACUUAUAAAAAAAUAAAGCAAAAUACUCUCUCUAGGACUGUCAUGAAGUCAAUCUAAACCUUAAUUAAGGGUUAAGUAGCAUAAAAGUACUUUUUAGAUCUUGUAUUAAGAGAUAGGUAGUCUAUGGUGUGUAAAUCUAACUUGAUGGAAGGUGUUCCGUCGACGAUCAUGAUAACCAAACGACAAAUUAUUACUGAAUAGUUUUCUUAGAAAGAUAGAUAAUUAUGAUAUGUCGUAAGGGAAGAAACUUUUGCUAACCUGGAUUGCAUGAGACUCUACAAGUAAAGAAUUUGAAGGGUUGUGUUGAGAAUUGAAAAGGUUAUACUGUCAGAAUAUUUGAACAAUCAUAUCUUAUUCCAAGGCUGGAACGUCUCAUGAGCUCCCUCUAAUCAUCCUUAUUAGCUCCUAACUUCGUCUUCUUUUUGGCACAACCUUGCUUGAGGAGGACAGCACAGGCGUUCGUUAUGUACAGAGAGCGAGGAGUGGGAUCUAAAUCGGAGGUAACUUCCGGUGAUCAGAAGCGAAUCAACGACGUCCUCGAUGAACUGCUCGAACGAUUCUCGCCGUCCACAUCCAGAGCCGCCGGCAUCAACGGCAAAGACCGCUCAUCUUCCUCUUCCCUCUUAGCCGCCGGCAAGGACUACCGCUGCGCCUCCGUCACCGCCCCUAUCUCCAAGAAUUCCAACGCUUCUGAUGGUUCGAGAUUUCUUCUUUUCUCUUACCAUCUGAUAUCUUUUCGAUGCCAAUCUCGCCAACUGAAUCCCAAUCCUUAACGUAGAGUCAAUAUUGAAGUAAAAAAGUAAAUUUUUCUAUUAAAAAGAAAUAUAAAAAAAUAAUAAUAUUAAAUAAAUAUAAAAAAAUUUAUGUCUAUCAAAAUAUUUUUGGUCGUUUGACUUUUCUAAUCAGCCCUACUUAAUAUAAAAAGUUUGAUUGUUAGUUGCUAGGAAUUUUACGUAUUCGUCCCAUAACUGUGCUUAUGUUUUUCCGCAGAAGUUAAACAUGUUGAUGAAUUAAAAAAAAAAAUAUCAUUGUUGAUUUUAUUUCUUAAUUCGUUUUAUGGCAAUAUGAGAUUUUCUCUGGCAGUAUUACCUGCCACCCGCAAUGCAAUUAACCAGGGUUGAUGGGGGUUUGGCCGCGGUCGUUGGCAGCAAAGUUAUCAAAAUGAUAGAGGACCCGACCUUCUUCCUCCAGCUGGACGUUAUCCUCCGAGGCACAAUUUUGGAUACGGAAAUAGGUUUCAGAACGCUCGCCAUGAUGAGCGCCUUGUCUCUGAGAUGAAGCUUUCAAAAAGUGUAGAAACUCUGUCAAGAAAGUGCAUUGCUUUUCCG